AGAAUCAACGCUGGCGGCGUGCCUCAGACAUGCAAGUCGAACGCGAAAGUCCCCUUCGGGGGACAAGUAGAGUGGCGCACGGGUGAGUAACACGUAGGUAAUCUACCUUCGGAUGGGGAAUAACAACCGGAAACGGUUGCUAAUACCGCAUAAUGCAGCGGCACCUAAUGGUGACAGUUGUUAAAGCGGGGGAUCGGAAAGACCUCGCGUCUGAAGAGGAGCCUGCGGCGAUUAGCUAGUUGGUAGGGUAACGCUACCAAGGCGACGAUCCGUAGCCGGCUGAGACGGGCGUCGGCCACGAC
rnacentral:rRNA from 1 species